GGUGGUUCUCGGGUGAUGCACCCCAGAAUCCGGCUCCCUCCUCUCUGGUUCUGGGGGCGUCACCUGAGAACUGCA
rfam:Myotis brandtii contig287661, whole genome shotgun sequence.